rnacentral:rRNA from 1 species
AACGAUCCCUUCGGGGAUAGUGGCGCACGGGUGCGUAACGCGUGGGAACCUGCCCUUAGGUUCGGAAUAACUCAGAGAAAUUUGAGCUAAUACCGGAUAAUGUCUUCGGACCAAAGAUUUAUCGCCUUUGGAUGGGCCCGCGUAGGAUUAGGUAGUUGGUGGGGUAAAGGCCUACCAAGCCGACGAUCCUUAGCUGGUCUGAGAGGAUGAUCAGCCACACUGGGACUGAGACACGGCCCAGACUCCUACGGGAGGCAGCAGUGGGGAAUAUUGGACAAUGGGCGAAAGCCUGAUCCAGCAAUGCCGCGUGAGUGAUGAAGGCCUUAGGGUUGUAAAGCUCUUUUACCAGGGAUGAUAAUGACAGUACCUGGAGAAUAAGCUCCGGCUAACUCCGUGCCAGCAGCCGCGGUAAUACGGAGGGAGCUAGCGUUGUUCGGAAUUACUGGGCGUAAAGCGCACGUAGGCGGCUUUUUAAGUCGGGGGUGAAAUCCCGGGGCUCAACCCCGGAACUGCCUCCGAAACUGGAAAGCUAGAAUCUUGGAGAGGCGAGUGGAAUUCCGAGUGUAGAGGUGAAAUUCGUAGAUAUUCGGAAGAACACCAGUGGCGAAGGCGACUCGCUGGACAAGUAUUGACGCUGAGGUGCGA